rnacentral:rRNA from 1 species
CUACAGGCUUAACACAUGCAAGUCGAGGGGCAGCAUUUUAGUUUGCUUGCAAACUGAAGAUGGCGACCGGCGCACGGGUGAGUAACACGUAUCCAACCUGCCGAUAACUCCGGAAUAGCCUUUCGAAAGAAAGAUUAAUACCGGAUAGCAUACGAAUAUCGCAUGAUAUUUUUAUUAAAGAAUUUCGGUUAUCGAUGGGGAUGCGUUCCAUUAGUUUGUUGGCGGGGUAACGGCCCACCAAGACUACGAUGGAUAGGGGUUCUGAGAGGAAGGUCCCCCACAUUGGAACUGAGACACGGUCCAAACUCCUACGGGAGGCAGCAGUGAGGAAUAUUGGUCAAUGGGCGAGAGCCUGAACCAGCCAAGUAGCGUGAAGGAUGAAGGCUCUAUGGGUCGUAAACUUCUUUUAUAUGGGAAUAAAGUUUUCCACGUGUGGAAUUUUGUAUGUACCAUAUGAAUAAGGAUCGGCUAACUCCGUGCCAGCAGCCGCGGUAAUACGGAGGAUCCGAGCGUUAUCCGGAUUUAUUGGGUUUAAAGGGAGCGUAGGUGGAUUGUUAAGUCAGUUGUGAAAGUUUGCGGCUCAACCGUAAAAUUGCAGUUGAAACUGGCAGUCUUGAGUACAGUAGAGGUGGGCGGAAUUCGUGGUGUAGCGGUGAAAUGCUUAGAUAUCACGAAGAACUCCGAUUGCGAAGGCAGCUCACUAGACUGUCACUGACACUGAUGCUCGAAAGUGUGGGUAUCAAACAGGAUUAGAUACCCUGGUAGUCCACACAGUAAACGAUGAAUACUCGCUGUUUGCGAUAUACAGUAAGCGGCCAAGCGAAAGCAUUAAGUAUUCCACCUGGGGAGUACGCCGGCAACGGUGAAACUCAAAGGAAUUGACGGGGGCCCGCACAAGCGGAGGAACAUGUGGUUUAAUUCGAUGAUACGCGAGGAACCUUACCCGGGCUUAAAUUGCAACAGAAUAUAUUGGAAACAGUAUAGCCGUAAGGCUGUUGUGAAGGUGCUGCAUGGUUGUCGUCAGCUCGUGCCGUGAGGUGUCGGCUUAAGUGCCAUAAUGAGCGCAACCCUUAUCUUUAGUUACUAACAGGUCAUGCUGAGGACUCUAGAGAGACUGCCGUCGUAAGAUGUGAGGAAGGUGGGGAUGACGUCAAAUCAGCACGGCCCUUACGUCCGGGGCUACACACGUGUUACAAUGGGGGGUACAGAAGGCGGCUACCUGGUGACAGGAUGCUAAUCCCAAAAACCUCUCUCAGUUCGGAUCGAAGUCUGCAACCCGACUUCGUGAAGCUGGAUUCGCUAGUAAUCGCGCAUCAGCCAUAGCGCGGUGAAUACGUUCCCGGGCCUUGUACACACCGCCCGUCAAGCCAUGAAAGCCGGGGGUACCUGAAGUACGUAACCGCAAGGAGCGUCCUAGGGUAAAACUGGUAAUUGGGGCUAAGU